rnacentral:rRNA from 1 species
UACGUAGGGGACGAGCGUUGUCCGGAAUUAUUGGGCGUAAAGAGCGUGUAGGCGGCUUAUCAAGUCCUGCGUGAAAUCUCGGGGCUCAACCCCGAGCGGUCGUGGGAAACUGGUUGGCUAGAGUGCGGGAGAGGAGAGUGGAAUUCCCAGUGUAGCGGUGAAAUGCGCAGAUAUUGGGAAGAACACCCGUGGCGAAGGCGGCUUCUGUCGG